rnacentral:rRNA from 1 species
CCUACGGGUGGCAGCAGUGAGGAAUAUUGGUCAAUGGACGCAAGUCUGAACCAGCCAUGCCGCGUGCAGGAAGACGGCUCUAUGAGUUGUAAACUGCUUUUGUACGGGGGUAAACGCAGAUACGCGUAUCUGUCUGAAAGUAUCGUACGAAUAAGGAUCGGCUAACUCCGUGCCAGCAGCCGCGGUAAUACGGAGGAUUCAAGCGUUAUCCGGAUUUAUUGGGUUUAAAGGGUGCGUAGGCGGUCGGAUAAGUUAGAGGUGAAAGCCCGAGGCUCAACUUCGGAAUUGCCGCUGAAACUGGUCGGCUAGAGUGUAGUAGAGGUAGGCGGAAUGCAUGGUGUAGCGGUGAAAUGCUUAGAGAUCACGAAGAACACCGAUUGCGAAGGCAGCUUACCGGGCUACUACUGACGUUGAGGCACGAAAGCGUGGGGAGCAAACAGGAUUAGAUACCCGUGUAGUC